CCUUAUGACGCAGGACAGCCGAUUGUGCUGUAUUUAUUUUUCGAGCAGAUUUUUUUGUAAAUGUGCCUGAGACGUUUGAGGUGAUAAACCUGAUUUAACAUCUCACAGAUUUCCAGUAGACCCAAUUCCAAGGUUCUGCAUUCGCCUUUUGUACCAACACAUGGCUGCCUUGCCCUGAUCACACCUGUGAUUCCUUCGGAGUGGCUACAGAACUUUAACCAUUUCUGACAGAAAACACUGCAUUGCUCUGGACAAAAUCAUCGAAACCCCCCCAGGCCCUCGAUUCUACAGCUGUGUUCGAAAUAUGAAAGGGCAUAAGAUGGAAAAGUGGGCAAGGUCUGACAUUUACGAGGCACUGGCAUCAAGUUCAAGGCCUUGGUGCUUGGUCUUGAGAUCCAUUAAUCCUUAAGACCUACGUCCCAUCUUGCCUUCUUCAGUCAGCAGACCUGUGCUACUCUGAAAUCCCUCCACCAUGUGAGAAGACAUUUCUCAUGUAUGGUUCCCCGAUGGUGGAAUGAGCUGCUGAACCAUUUCCAGUCGUCAGACUCCCUUCUCCACCUUCAAGAAAUGCUUCAAGACCCAUUUGUUCAAGGAAGCCCUCUACUAGCUGUAUGUUACCCGAGUGUUGCACUUUAUCUACUGAUCUGAUCAGUUGUUUUAUUAGGUUCUUGCUUAGUUGGAAAGAUGUACAGCUCUGACUCUGAUAGCACUUACAUUUGUACCUGGGCAUUCAUUGGAAGCUCAGCCUAGCUGCUCUUACGCCAAGUCGACUCCUUGACAGCCUUUUGUUUGCAAUGUGCUGCUUGUCUCACUUCUGAGUCGCUUUGGACAAACAUCUCAGCUAAAUAUGUCAUGUAGAUGUAGUAAAUGUCUCAGUCUCCAUUGCUCUUUCUGUCACCACACUUGCAAGAAAUCUGCCAAUGCUAGCUAUGGAUGUCUUCAGCAAAACACAGCUUUAUUGAAAAUCUCUUUUAAGCCUUUUUUUCAUUAACAGAGUGUUCCCAUUUUAAUGUUACCUACACGUUGGACUGAUUUUUAUUUCAAACUACAUUACAUCAAUACAUACUGCUUUUGGUCAGCUAAAACUACUACAAAGAUUUAUGAAUUAUUAUUAGUAAUAAAAUAAAUACAAAUAUUAUAAUAAAAAUUACAUCAUGACAGAUUACGCUAUUCUACCAUAGUCAUAAUUUUUAAAUUUUGCAGUAUUUUUCAAACAUUUUUCUUCUGACAUUGUGACUCUUCGGAAACUACUAUUCAGGAAGAGGCAUUAAAAAAAUAUUAGAACCAUAAAGUGCUUUGUAUUUCAGUCUAUUAGCCAAAAUUUAACAACUGGAAAAAACGGGACUGUUUUCAUCCAUAAAAUCACAAAUACCUUCACCUCAAAUUGAUAUAUAAAAAAGACAUUAA